rnacentral:rRNA from 1 species
UACGUAGGGGGCAAGCGUUGUCCGGAAUCAUUGGGCGUAAAGCGCGUGUAGGCGGCCCAGUAAGUCCGCUGUGAAAGUCCGGGGCUCAACCCCGGAAAGCCGGUGGAUACUGUUGGGCUAGAGUGCGGAAGAGGCGAGUGGAAUUCCUAGUGUAGCGGUGAAAUGCGCAGAUAUCAGGAGGAACACCAAUGGCGAAGGCAGCUCGCUGGGACGCAACUGACGCUGAGACGCGAAAGCGUGGGGAGCAAACAGG